GGUUAAGUGACUAAGCGUACACGGUGGAUGCCUUGGCAGUUGGAGGCGAUGAAGGACGUAUUAACUUGCGAUAAGCCUAGUCAAGCUAGUAAAAAGCACUUGAGACUAGGAUUUCCGAAUGGGGAAACCCACCUGCUUGCAGGUAUCGUUAACUGAAUACAUAGGUUAACGAGGCGAACGCGGAGAACUGAAACAUCUAAGUACCCGUAG
rnacentral:ncRNA from 1 species